rnacentral:rRNA from 1 species
UACGUAGGGGGCUAGCGUUGUCCGGAAUUAUUGGGCGUAAAGCGCGCGUAGGCGGCUACCUAAGUCGGAUGUGAAAGCCCCUGGCUCAACUGGGGAAGUGCACCCGAAACUGGGUAGCUUGAGUGCAAAAGAGGACCGCGGAAUUCCCGGUGUAGAGGUGAAAUUCGUAGAUAUCGGGAGGAACACCGGUGGCGAAGGCGGCGGUCUGGGUUGACACUGACGCUGAGGCGCGAAAGCGUGGGGAGCAAACAGG